rnacentral:rRNA from 1 species
UAAAGCGAUUCAGCGGGUUACGAUUGACGGAGCGAAGCGACGUCAAAGCGUAUACAAAGUCGAGUCGGUUUAAGGAUACGUUCGUUGGGUAGGGGAGCGUUCUGUAAGCCCGUGAAGGUGGCCUGUGAGGGUUGCUGGAGGUAUCAGAAGUGCGAAUGCUGACAUAAGUAACGAUAAAGCGGGUGAAAAGCCCGCUCGCCGGAAGACCAAGGGUUCCUGUCCAACGUUAAUCGGGGCAGGGUGAGUCGACCCCUAAGGCGAGGCCGAAAGGCGUAGUCGAUGGGAAACGGGUUAAUAUUCCCGUACUUGGUGUUACUGCGAAGGGGGGACGGAGAAGGCUAUGUUGGCCGGGCGACGGUUGUCCCGGUUUAAGCGUGUAGGUGUGUGUUCCAGGUAAAUCCGGUUCACUUUAACAC